rnacentral:rRNA from 1 species
UACGGAGGAUGCAAGCGUUAUCCGGAUUCAUUGGGUUUAAAGGGUGCGUAGGUGGGUUUGUAAGUCAGUGGUGGAAUAUUGUCGCUUAACGAUAAGGUUGCCAUUGAUACUGCAGGUCUUGAGUUUGGUUGAGGUAGGCGGAAUGUGCAGUGUAGCGGUGAAAUGCAUAGAGAUUGCACAGAACUCCGAUUGCGAAGGCAGCUUACUAAGCCAAAACUGACGCUGAGGAGCGAAAGCGUGGGGAGCAAACAGGAUUA